AUGCUCAUGUCCAUCGACUGCUAUGUAAAAGGUUUAGCUCAUACAGUGACGAUUUUCCCCUGCAACCACCCCACAGGGGCUAUGACUCCAUCACCCCUUGCAAGCGAGAGGGGGCAAAGGGGGGGCCCGGUGCCGAGGCUGGGUCCCUCCAGCAGCACUGCCAGCGGUGAUUCAAGAGGUGGAACUCCCUCCCUCCUGACUCACUCGCUGUCGCUGUCGAGCCCAAGCCCUGGCGGGAUGCUCCACUUGCGUCACUUGUUGCAGGAGAUGAUGAAGAAGAGACCCGAGGUGUGUUCUCAAGGACAUGUGCUGUGUCAUUUUAAGCCCCCACACAUUCCCAUUUGCUGGAUUUUUUCCCCGCCCUCCUCAGCUGUUGACUCACCAUGUUGUAAAGUCAUCACUCCAUCAAGGAAGCGUGGUACACCCUGGCCUCCUCCUCGGUGUAUUCGAGCUCCCCACCCCUCCCCAGUUUAUCCCAGUCUCAUCUCGGCAUCCCCACAGCCCCAGCUCCCUCAGAGCAAGGCACCCAUCGUCCUACCAAACAAAUCCCCAACUGAGAUAACUUGCAAUGGAGAGCCCUCAGGCACCCUGUGCCACCCCAGGACAGGGUCUCCAGCAAGGCACAGCCAGACCCUCACUCCCAGAGGGCUCUUCCUGGCGUGAUAACAACAGGAGGGUUGCCCUCUUCCCACCACCUUGCUGGUCCCCAGCUUUGCCACCCAGCUGCCCCAAGCCCCUCACCUCAGCUGGGCACCACCACGGCCGGGACACUUGAGCCCCAGCUCAGCUGUUGACUCCAGCCCGAGUCCGAGGAGUGGGAUGGGGACAGGGAGCCACUCCGGGGUGGAAUUUCACUCACUUCAGUGACCUCGUGCCUGUGGCGCGCUCUAAAAAUACAAAUAAACCGGCGGGCGGCAUGAAACCCA
rnacentral:lncRNA from 1 species